GAGAGUUGUAAGCCGAGGGCCAGACUGUGAGAGUUGUGAGCCGAGGGCCAGAUUGUAAGAGUUGUGAGCCGGAGGCCAGACUGCGAUAGUACUGAGCCGGAGGCUAGACUGCGAUAGUGCUAAGCCGAGGGCCAGACUGUGAGAGUCGUGAGUCGGGGUAAGCUUGGUGCUACCUCUUUUCUUUUGUUUGUUAUUUUCUUUAAAUAAGAAGAUUGAAAGUUUCUGAAUAUUGUGAAGUGAAUUAUGGAAUAGAAAUGUGAUUGGUAUUAUUUGAGAAGAAGAAAGAUUAAAUGCUGAAAUCUGAUUGUAGUUCAGUAGAAAGAAUGAGUCUGUGUUUGUGUGAAACACUGUAAUGUGAAUGGCAGUUUUGUAUGAAGAAUUCCAGUGAUUGGAACGAGGAUAAUUGUGUGUUGAAAGCUAUGAAGGUGCAGUAUUACAGUUGGAGAUUAUGAGGGUGAAUAUAUUGGUAGAAAUAGUAGUUAUUGGUAUGAUUGAAUUGUUGUAAGGAAGAGACCGAUAAGGUGAAGGAGGAGAUUGUAG
rnacentral:lncRNA from 1 species